CCUACGGGAGGCAGCAGUGAGGAAUCUUCGUCAAUGGACGCAAGUCUGAACCAGCCAUGCCGCGUGCAGGAAGACGGCUCUAUGAGUUGUAAACUGCUUUUGUACGAGGGUAAAUCUCGAUACGUGUCUCUGGUUGCAAGUAUCGUACGAAUAAGGAUCGGCUAACUCCGUGCCAGCAGCCGCGGUAAUACGGAGGAUGCAAGCGUUAUCCGGUUGUAUUGGGUUUAAAGGGUGCGUAGGCGGUUCGGUAAGUUAGAGGUGAAAUCCCGGGGCUCAACUCCGGCACUGCCUCUGAUACUGUCGGGCUAGAGUUUAGUUGAGGUAGGCGGAAUGUAUGGUGUAGCGGUGAAAUGCAUAGAGAUCAUACAGAACACCGAUUGCGAAGGCAGCUUACCAAACUACGACUGACGUUGAGGCACGAAAGCGUGGGGAGCAAACAGGAUUAGAUACCCCGGUAGUC
rnacentral:rRNA from 1 species